UCUUUAGCACAGAGCUGGGCCAACAGCUGUGGAGUGUGCACCCCCAACACUACGCCUCUGCUAUUAGUACGAGUGCUUCCAUUUCCUGCAAGUCCUCUUUGCCUGCUAUUGGCACCUCGCAGUGGCCAUUUCUUCUACUCUAUGUAUUGUUUUUCCUUUGGACAACGACAAAAUGCGGACUGCAAGGAGCGUGGAGAAAGCAUUGGCGCUUCAGCUCUGAGUGUGUUUCAACUACGUUGUGCAGUACCUGCCACCGACGUCUCCUACGUUAGAAUUCACGCAACGCUAUUUUGGACACAUCAGCCCUGAAAAAGGAACAAAGCACCCCCAACGGUAAACAAGAUAGAGUGGCAUGCCCUGUUCAAGUUCUCUUACUCCACUGCAGACUGGGCGUUAGUUAGGUUAAGCUGAGUACUAGGGUAAGCUGAGAACUUGUCGUGUUUGUCUCUUUUUCUGUUCCGUGUCUCAGGUUUUAUCGUCGUUUUGAAUACUACAGGGUAGGCACAACAGACAUACUUCUGUGCUUUCACAUACUUCGUUUACGUACGUGCAUUGUGCUUUUUCAAGUACACAGAUUCAAACAUUGUGUUGAGCACUUCAGUUCAUACAUAAGUAUGUCUUGUCUCUUCUUAUGCCUUUCACUCAAUGUUCCUAAUUUCAUGUUUUGUUCUGAUUUCAGGAGCCGUUGCAAGCUGCCGUUCUGCAGAAAGUUACUGCAGUGUACACUUCAGUGAAUAUAUUGUUUUAUGAAC